rnacentral:rRNA from 1 species
GUCUACGGCCACACCACCCUGAACGCGCCCGAUCUCGUCUGAUCUCGGAAGCUAAGCAGGGUCGGGCCUGGUUAGUACUUGGAUGGGAGAAUAUUCUGAAUUAAAGGCCCUUAGAGAUCAACAGGCAUUGGAAGAGG